rnacentral:rRNA from 1 species
GAUGAACGCUGGCGGCGUGCUUAACACAUGCAAGUCGAACGGGAAACCUUUUAUUGAAGCUUCGGCAGAUUUAGCUGGUUUCUAGUGGCGGACGGGUGAGUAACUCGUGGGUAACCUGCCUUAUACAGGGGGAUAACAGUCAGAAAUGGCUGCUAAUACCGCAUAAGCGCACAGAGCUGCAUGGCUCAGUGUGCAAAACUCCGGUGGUAUAAGAUGGACCCGCGUUGGAUUAGCUGGUUGGUGGGGUAACGGCCCACCAAGGCGACGAUCCAUAGCCGGCCUGAGAGGGUGAACGGCCACAUUGGGACUGAGACACGGCCCAGACUCCUACGGGAGGCAGCAGUGGGGAAUAUUGCACAAUGGGGGAAACCCUGAUGCAGCGACGCCGCGUGAAGGAAGAAGUCUCUCGGUAUGUAAACUUCUAUCAGCAGGGAAGAUAAUGACGGUACCUGACUAAGAAGCCCCGGCUAACUACGUG